rnacentral:misc_RNA from 1 species
UGUAAGAACAUAGUCGUAAC